CUAAGGAAGAGCCAGAAGAAUGCGCUAUCAUAAUGAAACAGCUGUUGCUUUGCGAGCAUCUUCACAAGGUCCUAUGCUGUUGUUCUGGGAUUGAUUUUCGCACCAAAGUUCGUUCAACUCUAGGAGACAGAACGCGUCUCCUUCCUGAGUGGUAUGACGGCUGCAUUGUCCCAUGUGCUGUGUGAUGAGGACCCAUUGCACAUCGCCUGGAGCUCCAGUGAGUGAACUGUCUGACAGUGAAGCCCAGGCCCAACAGCCUUCACUGUCCCCAGCAGCAAUGUGGCUCAGGACACACCUGGACCCUGAGACAUGCAGCCCCCAUUCAGUUCUACAGCAGAGUCCUAUGCAUGCUCAGCACUGGAACAGGCACUUAAGACAUGGGUGCAAUGUUUAUAGUGCUCUGUUUGCAUUCAGCUUGCAUCACUUGCAAGGCUUUAUUCAUCAUAUGACACAAUCUGUGGUUGGUAUUUUGUUUUCAAUAUGUAUUUGUCUUUGAAUGAUAUUCAGAGAACAUUCAUCACUGCUCCUUCAUCAGUGCAAGUACUGCAGUGAAUAAAGUUUGUAAUUAAGA